rnacentral:rRNA from 3 species
AACGACUCUCGGCAACGGAUAUCUCGGCUCUCGCAUCGAUGAAGAACGUAGCGAAAUGCGAUACUUGGUGUGAAUUGCAGAAUCCCGUGAACCAUCGAGUCUUUGAACGCAAGUUGCGCCCCACGCCUUCUGGCCGAGGGCACGUCUGCCUGGGUGUCAC